AUUCCAGCUCCAAUAGCGUAUAUUAAAGUUGUUGCAGUUAAAACGCUCGUAGUCGGAUUUCGGGGCGGGCCGACCGGUCUGCCGAUGGGUAUGCACUGGCCGGCGCGUCCUUCCACCCGGAGACCGCGCCUACUCUUAACUGAGCGGGCGCGGGAGACGGGUCUUUUACUUUGAAAAAAUCAGAGUGUUUCAAGCAGGCAGUCGCUCUUGCAUGGAUUAGCAUGGGAUAAUGAAAUAGGACUCUGGAGCUAUUUUGUUGGUUUAUACACUUAGAGAAUGAUUAACAGGGACAGUUGGGGGUGUUCAUAUUUACAUGUCAGAGGUGAAAUUCUUGGAUUUUGGAAAGAUGAACUACUGCGAAGGCAUUUACCAAGGAUGUUUUCAUCA
rnacentral:rRNA from 1 species